rnacentral:tRNA from 1 species
UCCUGGUAGCUCAGUCGGUAAAGAAUCUGCCUGCAGUGUAGAAGACCUGGGUUCGAUCCCUGGGUCAGGAA